UACGAAGGGGGGCUAGCGUUGCUCGGAAUCACUGGGCGUAAAGCGCACGUAGGCGGCUUUCUAAGUCAGGGGUGAAAUCCUGGAGCUCAACUCCAGAACUGCCUUUGAUACUGGAGAGCUCGAGUCCGGAAGAGGUGAGUGGAACUGCGAGUGUAGAGGUGAAAUUCGUAGAUAUUCGCAAGAACACCAGUGGCGAAGGCGGCUCACUGGUCCGGUACUGACGCUGAGGUGCGAAAGCGUGGGGAGCAACAGG
rnacentral:rRNA from 1 species